rnacentral:rRNA from 1 species
CGAGCGGCGGACGGGUGAGUAAUGCCUGGGAAUAUGCCUUGAUGUGGGGGAUAACCAUUGGAAACGAUGGCUAAUACCGCAUAAUGCCUACGGGCCAAAGAGGGGGAUCUUCGGACCUCUCGCGUCAAGAUUAGCCCAGGUGGGAUUAGCUAGUUGGUGAGGUAAUGGCUCACCAAGGCGACGAUCCCUAGCUGGUCUGAGAGGAUGAUCAGCCACACUGGAACUGAGACACGGUCCAGACUCCUACGGGAGGCAGCAGUGGGGAAUAUUGCACAAUGGGCGCAAGCCUGAUGCAGCCAUGCCGCGUGUGUGAAGAAGGCCUUCGGGUUGUAAAGCACUUUCAGUCGUGAGGAAGGUAGUUGCGUUAAUAGCGUAAUUAUUUGACGUUAGCGACAGAAGAAGCACCGGCUAACUCCGUGCCAGCAGCCGCGGUAAUACGGAGGGUGCGAGCGUUAAUCGGAAUUACUGGGCGUAAAGCGCAUGCAGGUGGUUUGUUAAGUCAGAUGUGAAAGCCCGGGGCUCAACCUCGGAAUUGCAUUUGAAACUGGCAGACUAGAGUACUGUAGAGGGGGGUAGAAUUUCAGGUGUAGCGGUGAAAUGCGUAGAGAUCUGAAGGAAUACCGGUGGCGAAGGCGGCCCCCUGGACAGAUACUGACACUCAGAUGCGAAAGCGUGGGGAGCAAACAGGAUUAGAUACCCUGGUAGUCCACGCCGUAAACGAUGUCUACUUGGAGGUUGUGGCCUUGAGCCGUGGCUUUCGGAGCUAACGCGUUAAGUAGACCGCCUGGGGAGUACGGUCGCAAGAUUAAAACUCAAAUGAAUUGACGGGGGCCCGCACAAGCGGUGGAGCAUGUGGUUUAAUUCGAUGCAACGCGAAGAACCUUACCUACUCUUGACAUCCAGAGAAGCCAGCGGAGACGCAGGUGUGCCUUCGGGAACUCUGAGACAGGUGCUGCAUGGCUGUCGUCAGCUCGUGUUGUGAAAUGUUGGGUUAAGUCCCGCAACGAGCGCAACCCUUAUCCUUGUUUGCCAGCGAGUAAUGUCGGGAACUCCAGGGAGACUGCCGGUGAUAAACCGGAGGAAGGUGGGGACGACGUCAAGUCAUCAUGGCCCUUACGAGUAGGGCUACACACGUGCUACAAUGGCGCAUACAGAGGGCUGCCAACCAGCGAUGGUGAGCGAAUCCCAAAAAGUGCGUCGUAGUCCGGAUUGGAGUCUGCAACUCGACUCCAUG